AGAAACUUAGGUUACAACAAACCAAGGGCCUUCAAAGCCCUAAAUACGAGCUCAACCCUCAUAGUUUCUG
rnacentral:tRNA from 1 species